CAGUAUUCCAAUAAGUUCUAUAACGGAAAAAAGUCAUUCACUCGUGAUAAAUAUGAAACUAAUUAAUUUGAUCUUAAUAGUCGCUUGCAUUGCUGCCGGUGCAAUGGCUGCUCCAGGAAAUGCUAAUGCUCAAGGCGUUUUUAAUUCCGGCUAUUUUUUUCAAGGAAGUAAAAAGUGAAACUUAUUUUACUAUUCAUUUAAGUAGCUGAUAUUAAUAAAGAAACACAUUUAAUUCAAUUUAUAAUGUCUGAAUAAAUAAAGUUUUAAAUCUUAAACCUGUA